GACAGAGGGGGCAAGCGUUGCUCGGAAUCACUGGGCGUAAAGGGCGCGUAGGCGGGAUGGCAAGUCGGUCGUGAAAUCCUUCGGCUCAACCGAAGAACGUCGGCCGAUACUGCCGUUCUUGAGGGAUGCAGAGGAGAUUGGAAUUCUCGGUGUAGCGGUGAAAUGCGUAGAUAUCGAGAGGAACACCUGCGGCGAAGGCGGGUUGCUGGGCCGACACUGACGCUGAUGCGCGAAAGCCAGGGGAGCGAACGGG
rnacentral:rRNA from 1 species